AAUGAACGUUGGCGGCGUGGAUUAGGCAUGCAAGUCGAGCGAGAUCUGUAGCAAUACAGUGAAAGCGGCGAAAGGGAGAGUAAUACGUAGGUACCUGCCCUCGGGUCUGGGAUAGCUGCGGGAAACUGCAAUUAAUACCAGAUGACGUCUGCGGACCAAAGGUGUGCUUCCGCCAGGGGAUGGGCCUGCGUCCUAUCAGCUAGUUGGUGUGGUAAAGGCGCACCAAGGCAAAGACGGGUAAGGGGUGUGAGAGCAUGCCCCCGCUCACUGGGACUGAGACACUGCCCAGACACCUACGGGUGGCUGCAGUCGAGAAUCUUCCGCAAUGGGCGAAAGCCUGACGGAGCGACGCCGCGUGUGGGAUGAAGGCCUUCGGGUUGUAAACCACUGUCAGUGGGGAGCAAAUGGCUAGGGGUUCUCCCCUAGUCUUGAGCGAUCCGCAGAGGAAGCACAGGCUAAUUCCGUGCCAGCCGCCGCUGUAACAC
rnacentral:rRNA from 1 species